rnacentral:rRNA from 1 species
UAGGGAAUCUUCCACAAUGGACGCAAGUCUGAUGGAGCAACGCCGCGUGAGUGAAGAAGGUUUUCGGAUCGUAAAGCUCUGUUGUUGGUGAAGAAGGAUAGAGGCAGUAACUGGUCUUUAUUUGACGGUAAUCAACCAGAAAGUCACGGCUAACUACGUGCCAGCAGCCGCGGUAAUACGUAGGUGGCAAGCGUUGUCCGGAUUUAUUGGGCGUAAAGCGAGCGCAGGCGGAAUGAUAAGUCUGAUGUGAACGCCCACGGCUCAACCGUGGAACUGCAUCGGAAACUGUCAUUCUUGAGUGCAGAAGAGGAGAGUGGAAUUCCAUGUGUAGCGGUGGAAUGCGUAGAUAUAUGGAAGAACACCAGUGGCGAAGGCGGCUCUCUGGUCUGCAACUGACGCUGAGGCUCGAAAGCAUGGGUAGCGAACAGG